rnacentral:rRNA from 1 species
AUGCUAAUACCUGAUAUUAUGAUUUUAGGGCAUCCUAAGAUUAUGAAAGCUAUAUGCACUGUGAGAGAGCUUUGCGUCCCAUUAGCUAGUUGGAGAGGUAACGGCUCACCAAGGCGAUGAUGGGUAGCCGGCCUGAGAGGGUGAUCGGCCACAAGGGGACUGAGACACGGCCCUUACUCCUACGGGAGGCAGCAGUGGGGAAUAUUGGACAAUGGACCAAGAGUCUGAUCCAGCAAUUCUGUGUGCACGAUGAAGUUUUUCGGAAUGUAAAGUGCUUUCAGUUGGGAAGAAAAAAAUGACGGUACCAACAGAAGAAGUGACGGCUAAAUACGUGCCAGCAGCCGCGGUAAUACGUAUGUCACAAGCGUUAUCCGGAUUUAUUGGGCGUAAAGCGCGUCUAGGUGGUUAUGUAAGUCUGAUGUGAAAAUGCAGGGCUCAACUCUGUAUUGCGUUGGAAACUGUGUAACUAGAGUACUGGAGAGGUAAGCGGAACUACAAGUGUAGAGGUGAAAUUCGUAGAUAUUUGUAGGAAUGCCGAUGGGGAAGCCAGCUUACUGGACAGAUACUGACGCUGAAGCGCGAAAGCGUGGGUAGCAAACAGGAUUAGAUACCCUGGUAGUCCACGCCGUAAACGAUGAUUACUAGGUGUUGGGGGUCGAACCUCAG